rnacentral:rRNA from 1 species
AGAGUUUGAUCAUGGCUCAGGACGAACGCUAGCGGCGUGGAUUAGGCAUGCAAGUCGAACGGUAUGGCACCUUCGGGUGUCAGAGAGUGGCGAACGGGUGAGUAACACGUAGGUUAUCUACCCUCAAGAUCGGGACAACCCAGGGAAACUUGGGCUAAUACCGGAUGUGAGCAUCCUUUUUGGAUGUUUGAAAGGUGGCUUUUAGCUGUCGCUUGAGGAUGAGCCUGCGUCCUAUUAGUUAGUUGGUGAGGUAAUGGCUCCCCAAGGCUAUGAUAGGUAGGCGGCCUUAACGGGUGGUCGCCCACACUGGGAUUGAGAUACGGCCCAGACUCCUACGGGAGGCAGCAGUCGAGAAUAGUCUACAAUGGCCGAAAGGCUGAUAGUGCGACGCCGCGUGAACGAGGAAGCCCUUCGGGGUGUAAAGUUCUUUUAUAUGUGAGCAGUGCCGGUCAUAUUAAUAGUAUGACUGGAGCGAUAUUAGCAUAUGAAUAAGCAACGGCUAACUCCGUGCCAGCAGCCGCGGUAACACGGGGGUUGCGAGCGUUGUCCGGAAUUACUAGGCGUAAAGGGCAGGCAGGCGGACCUGCAAGUUUUCUGUUAAAGACGUCAGCUCAACUGGCGCACGGCAGGAGAUACUGCAGAUCUUGAAUGCGGUUGGGGAAGACAGAACUCCUGGUGUAGCGGUGGAAUGCGCAGAGAUCAUGAGGAAUACCAAAGGCGAAGGCAGUCUUCCAAGCCGUUAUUGACGCUCAACUGCGAAGGUGUGGGUAUCAAACAGGAUUAGAUGCCCUGGUAGUCCACACAGUAAACGAUGAUCACUAGUGUCGGUUUCGUAAUAGGAUUCGGUGCCGUAGCUAACGAGUUAAGUGAUUCGCCUGGGGAGUACGAUCGCAAGGUUGAAACUCAAAGGAAUUGACGG